rfam:Ipomoea nil DNA, scaffold: scaffold0140, cultivar: Tokyo-kokei standard.
GAGAGCACAGUACGAUGAAAGUUGUAAGCUGUGUUCGGGGGAAUUAUUGUCUAUCGUUGGCCUCUAUGGUAGAAUCAGUCGGGGACCUGAGAGGGUGGUUUACCCUGC